rnacentral:rRNA from 2 species
UGGGGAAUAUUGCACAAUGGGCGAAAGCCUGAUGCAGCGACGCCGCGUGAUGGAUGACGGCCUUCGGGUUGUAAACCUCUUUCAGCAGGGACGAAGCGCAAGUGACGGUACCUGCAGAAGAAGCACCGGCUAACUACGUGCCAGCAGCCGCGGUAAUACGUAGGGUGCAAGCGUUGUCCGGAAUUACUGGGCGUAAAGAGUUCGUAGGCGGUUUGUCGCGUCGUUUGUGAAAACCAGCAGCUCAACUGCUGGCUUGCAGGCGAUACGGGCAGACUUGAGUACUGCAGGGGAGACUGGAAUUCCUGGUGUAGCGGUGAAAUGCGCAGAUAUCAGGAGGAACACCGGUGGCGAAGGCGGGUCUCUGGGCAGUAACUGACGCUGAGGAACGAAAGCGUGGGUAGCGAACAGG